GAUGAACGCUAGCGGCAGGCUUAACACAUGCAAGUCGAGGGGCAUCGAGAGUAGCAAUACUUGUCGGCGACCGGCGCAAGGGUGCGUAACACGUGAGCAACAUACCCGUUUCAGGAGGAUAACCGGAGGAAACUCUGCCUAAUACUCCAUGACAUCAUCAAACGGCAUCGUUUGAUGAUUAAAGAUUUAUCGGAAACGGCUUGGCUCGCGGGACAUUAGCUCGUUGGUGAGGUAACGGCUCACCAAGGCGACGAUGUCUAGGGGUUCUGAGAGGAAGGUCCCCCACACUGGAACUGAGACACGGUCCAGACUCCUACGGGAGGCAGCAGUGAGGAAUAUUGGACAAUGGUCGGAAGACUGAUCCAGCCAUGCCGCGUGAAGGUUACUGUCCUAUGGAUAUUAAACUUCUUUUGUAUGAGAGCAAUAAGGUGCACGUGUGCACCGAUGAGAGUAUCAUACGAAUAAGCAUCGGCUAACUCCG
rnacentral:rRNA from 1 species